rnacentral:rRNA from 1 species
GACGAACGCUGGCGGCGUGCUUAUCACAUGCAAGUCGAACGGAAAGGCCCUGCUUUUGUGGGGUGCUCGAGUGGCGAACGGGUGAGUAACACGUGAGUAACCUGCCCUUGACUUUGGGAUAACUUCAGGAAACUGGGGCUAAUACCGGAUAGGAGCUCCUGCUGCAUGGUGGGGGUUGGAAAGUUUCGGCGGUUGGGGAUGGACUCGCGGCUUAUCAGCUUGUUGGUGGGGUAGUGGCUUACCAAGGCUUUGACGGGUAGCCGGCCUGAGAGGGUGACCGGCCACAUUGGGACUGAGAUACGGCCCAGACUCCUACAGGAGGCAGCAGUGGGGAAUAUUGCACAAUGGGCGGAAGCCUGAUGCAGCAACGCCGCGUGCGGGAUGACGGCCUUCGGGUUGUAAACCGCUUUCGCCUGUGACGAAGCGUGAGUGACGGUAAUGGGUAAAGAAGCACCGGCUAACUACGUG